UACGUAGGGUGCGAGCGUUGUCCGGAAUUACUGGGCGUAAAGAGCUCGUAGGUGGUUUGUCGCGUCGUUUGUGUAAGUCCACGGCUUAACUGUGGGAUGGCAGGCGAUACGGGCAUAACUUGAGUGCUGUAGGGAAGACUGGAAUUCCUGGUGUAGCGGUGAAAUGCGCAGAUAUCAGGAGGAACACCGAUGGCGAAGGCAGGUCUCUGGGCAGUAACUGACGCUGAGGAGCGAAAGCAUGGGUAGCGAACAGG
rnacentral:rRNA from 1 species